rnacentral:rRNA from 1 species
CCCGCACAAGCGGUGGAGUAUGUGGUUUAAUUCGAUGCAACGCGAAGAACUUACCUGGUCUUGACAUCCCGGAGACCCUUAGGAAACUAGGGGGUGCUUCCAUCUGGAAGAAUCUGGAGACAGGUGCUGCAUGGCUGUCGUCAGCUCGUGUCGUGAGAUGUUGGGUUAAGUCCCGCAACGAGCGCAACCCUUGCCUUUAGUUGCCAGCAGUUCGGCUGGGCACUCUAAAGGGACUGCCGGUGUUAAACCGGAGGAAGGUGGGGAUGACGUCAAGUCCUCAUGGCCUUUAUGACCAGGGCUACACACGUACUACAAUGGCCGAUACAAAGGGCAGCGACACUGCGAGGUGAAGCCAAUCCCGUAAAAUCGGUCUCAGUCCGGAUUGGAGUCUGCAACUCGACUCCAUGAAGUUGGAAUCGCUAGUAAUCGUGGAUCAGCAUGCCACGGUGAAUACGUUCCCGGGCCUU